CACGAAUCUUGAAUAUUCUGGGGUUUUCAGCUCGAAAACUGAUUACGAUUACUCGGAAUUUGAAACGAAGCCUGUAAAACAAACAAACUUCAGUGAAAGGAAGCCUUCGUUGAAUAUUUGUAUCCCUCAAGUGAAGAAAAUGGAGUGGAAUAAUACAGUUAAGGAGGUGGGGCAGAAAGUUCAAGAUUCCGGAGAGAGGAAGCAUUACAGGGGUGUCAGGCAGAGGCCAUGGGGGAAGUUCGCAGCAGAGAUACGCGAUCCUAACCGGAAAGGUACUCGGGUUUGGCUCGGGACUUUC
rnacentral:lncRNA from 1 species